rnacentral:tRNA from 2 species
GCCCCAGUGGUGGAAUGGUAGACGCGGCAGACUCAAAAUCUGUUGCCCGCAAGGGCGUGCUGGUUCAAGUCCGGCCUGGGGCACCA